rnacentral:rRNA from 1 species
AAGAAGUCUAUCUUGCGCGCAAGCCAAUGGGUUGUGGGGCACGGUCCGCCGUCCCCAUACACUGAACACCCACAGGCGAAGACAACUCGAUUGUUAACGGGAUUACGGGUUCGGCCGAUGGCGCAAGCCUUCGUCGGGCCCCUCCAUCCCAGGGUGUCCCGGUACGGGUGCUUGCACCCAGCGGACAUCCCCGGAGUGCGUAGGAUGUGACCCGAAAGAUGGUGAACUAUGCCUGAUCAGGUCGAAGUCAGGGGGAAACCCUGAUGGAGGACCGAAAGCAAUUCUGACGUCGAAAUCGAUUGUCA